CCAUGCAGUCGAACGGUGAGCCAAGCUUGCUUGGUGGAUCAGUGGCGAACGGGUGAGUAACACGUGAGCAACCUGCCCUGGACUCUGGGAUAAGCGCUGGAAACGGCGUCUAAUACUGGAUAUGAGCUUCUACCGCAUGGUGGGGGUUGGAAAGAUUUUUCGGUCUGGGAUGGGCUCGCGGCCUAUCAGCUUGUUGGUGAGGUAAUGGCUCACCAAGGCGUCGACGGGUAGCCGGCCUGAGAGGGUGACCGGCCACACUGGGACUGAGACACGGCCCAGACUCCUACGGGAGGCAGCAGUGGGGAAUAUUGCACAAUGGGCGGAAGCCUGAUGCAGCAACGCCGCGUGAGGGAUGACGGCCUUCGGGUUGUAAACCUCUUUUAGCAAGGAAGAAGCGAAAGUGACGGUACUUGCAGAAAAAGCGCCGGCUAACUACGUGCCAGCAGCCGCGGUAAUACGUAGGGCGCAAGCGUUAUCCGGAAUUAUUGGGCGUAAAGAGCUCGUAGGCGGUUUGUCGCGUCUGCUGUGAAAUCCCGAGGCUCAACCUCGGGCCUGCAGUGGGUACGGGCAGACUAGAGUGCGGUAGGGGAGAUUGGAAUUCCUGGUGUAGCGGUGGAAUGCGCAGAUAUCAGGAGGAACACCGAUGGCGAAGGCAGAUCUCUGGGCCGUAACUGACGCUGAGGAGCGAAAGGGUGGGGAGCAAACAGGCUUAGAUACCCUGGUAGUCCACCCCGUAAACGUUGGGAACUAGUUGUGGGGUCCUUUCCACGGAUUCCGUGACGCAGCUAACGCAUUAAGUUCCCCGCCUGGGGGAGUACGGCCGCAGCUAAACUCAAAGGAAUGACGGGACYCGCACAGCGCGAGCAUGCGAUA
rnacentral:rRNA from 1 species